UACGGGGGAGAGCAGCUGUUCGGUGAAUUACUGGGCGUAAAGGGCGCGUAGGCGGCAAGGCAAGUCAGGUGUGAAAGCCCCGAGCUUAACUCGGGAAUUGCAUCUGAAACUGCUGUGCUUGAGUUCUGGAGGGGGUAGUGGAAUUCCCAGUGUAGCGGUGAAAUGCGUAGAUAUUGGGAGGAACACCUGCGGCGAAGGCGGCUACCUGGACAGAAACUGACGCUGAGGCGCGAAAGCUAGGGGAGCGAACAGG
rnacentral:rRNA from 1 species